rnacentral:lncRNA from 1 species
AAUGAAGAUUAUCUUCGAGUCCAAAACAGAAGAAAAACACACCUUUAGCACUAAUGGAAAACUAAAAUUCUCAGCACAAGUGUGCACCUCAGCUUUCUUGUGGUCACACCCAUGGAAGAAGUACCUUCCACCAUUGACUCCUCAUCCUUGGAAGAAGUACCUUCCACCAUUGACUCCUCACCCGUGGAAGAAGUACUUUCCACACCCCUGGAAGAAGUCACCAGUUUAUAUGCCUCCAGUGUAUUCAUCCCCACCAACUCCAGUUUAUACCAAGCCACCAACCCCGGUUUAUACCAAGCCACCAACGCCAGUUUAUACUAAGCCCCCAACGCCAGUCUAUACUAAGCCACCAACGCCAGUUUAUACUAAGCCCCCAACACCGGUCUAUUCUAAGCCACCAACGCCAGUUUAUACUCAUCCACCUACGCCAGUUUAUACUAAGCCACCAACGCCAGUUUAUACACCAAAACCAGUUUACAAGCAUCCACCAAAGCCAGUAUACUCACAUCCCCCGACUCCAGUCUAUACACAUCCACCAAAGCCCGUUUAUACUCAUCCCCCAACUCCAGUUUAUACACAUCCACCAAAGCCGGUUUACACUCAUCCCCCAACUCCAGUUUAUACACAUCCACCAAAGCCAGUUUAUAGUCACCCCCCAACUCCAGUAUACACACAUCCACCCAAGCCGGUUUAUACUCAUCCCCCAACUCCCAAAUACUCCAAGCCACCAACGCCAGUUUAUACCAAGCCACCAACGCCAGUUUAUACACAUCCACCUACGCCAGUAUAUACUAAGCCACCAACGCCAGUUUAUACACAUCCUCCAACGCCAGUUUAUACACAUCCUCCAACUCCGGUUUAUUCACAUCCGCCUAUCUAUAAGAAGCCUUGCCCGCCCAUUGUUCCUCUGCCUAAGCUUCCUCCAAAAUAUUUCCACCACCCAAAAGUACCCAAGAUUCCUAAAAAAUUCUUCCCCCACCCAAAAGUACCCAAGAUUCCUAAAAAAUUCUACCCCCACCCUAAAUUGACCUUCCCACCG